UACGGGGGGAGCAAGCGUUGUUCGGAUUUACUGGGCGUAAAGGGCGGGUAGGCGGCCACCGCAAGUCAGUUGUGAAAUCUCCGGGCUUAACCCGGAAAGGUCAGCCGAUACUGCGGGGCUAGAGUGCAGAAGGGGCAACUGGAAUUCUCGGUGUAGCGGUGAAAUGCGUAGAUAUCGAGAGGAACACCUGCGGCGAAGGCGGGUUGCUGGGCUGACACUGACGCUGAUGCGCGAAAGCUAGGGGAGCGAACGGG
rnacentral:rRNA from 1 species